AAGUCGUAACAAGGUUUCCGUAGGUGAACCUGCGGAAGGAUCAUUACAGUGUUCGCUGCCCUCACACGGUAGCAAACCUCACCCGUGUAUAUUAUAUCUUUGUUGCUUUGGCACGCCGCCUCCGGGCACUGGCUUCUCGCUAGGUCGCGCGCGUCAGAAGACCUAAAACUCUAAAUGUUAGUGUCGUCUGAGUACUAUCUAAUAGUUAAAACUUUCAACAACGGAUCUCUUGGUUCUGGCAUCGAUGAAGAACGCAGCGAAAUGCGAUAAGUAAUGUGAAUUGCAGAAUUUAGUGAAUCAUCGAAUCUUUGAACGCAUAUUGCGCCCGGUGGUAUUCCGCCGGGCAUGCCUGUUCGAGCGUCAUUUAAACCAUCCAGCCUCGUGCUUGGGUCUUGGGCCUUUUCGCCUUUACUAAGGCGGGCCUUAAAAUUAUUAGCGGUGCCUUCUAGCUCUAAGCGUAGUCAUAUUCCUCGCUAUAGACGUUAGGUGGUCUCUUGCUACCAACUCCUUAUUUUUCAAAGGUUGACCUCGGAUCAGGUAGGGAUACCCGCUGAACUUAAGCAUAUCAAUAAGCGGAGGAAAAGAAACCAACAGGGAUUACCUUAGUAACGGCGAGUGAAGCGGUAACAGCUCAAAUUUGAAAUCUGGCUCUUUUAGGGGGCCCGAGUUGUAAUUUGUAGAAGAUGCUUCGGGUGUGGCACCGGUCUAAGUUCCUUGGAACAGGACGUCAUAGAGGGUGAGAAUCCCGUAUGUGACUGGUUGCCUUCGCCUAUGUGAAGCUCUUUCGACGAGUCGAGUUGUUUGGGAAUGCAGCUCUAAAUGGGAGGUAAAUUUCUUCUAAAGCUAAAUAUUGGCCAGAGACCGAUAGCGCACAAGUAGAGUGAUCGAAAGAUGAAAAGCACUUUGGAAAGAGAGUUAAACAGUACGUGAAAUUGUUGAAAGGGAAGCGCUUGCAACCAGACUUGCCUACCGUCGAUCAUCCUCCGUUCUCGGUGGUGUACUCGGCGGUGGUCAGGCCAGCAUCGAUUUUGGUGGUGGGAUAAAGACCUUAGGAAUGUAGCUCCUCUCGGGGAGUGUUAUAGCCUUCGGUGUAAUGCCGCCUACCGGGAUCGAGGACCGCGCUUCGGCUAGGAUGCUGGCGUAAUGGUUGUAAGCGAC
rnacentral:rRNA from 1 species